rnacentral:tRNA from 1 species
GCCGUGGACACCGAGGGGCGGCCCGAUCUGCGGUACCGGGCGGGGCACGCGGCCGAUCGCAGCCGGCGUUCGGUGCGCCGCGCGGUGC